UACAGUGCUGGCAUCAGCAUCUGAAGAGGCUCUGGGCAUAGAGACAGUGGAUGGCAAGGCUCUCUAACUAGUCGUUGUUUGUCCAGGUUCUGUAACUAGGGAUUGAAUGCUCUUAUCAAAAGUGCUUGUAGCUAUAUGAUUGGUGAUGAUUAGACUUGCAAAUUUGUGUUUAGAAUUUGGGUUUUGGGGAGGAGAAAGAAAACUCUUUG
rnacentral:lncRNA from 1 species